rnacentral:lncRNA from 1 species
UCACGACAAUGCUGCGGCCGCCUGCACGUCAAUAGGAGUAAGCUUUUCUAUAUUAUCCGGUGAUCAUGCUUUGAGAGAACUACGCAAGCUUGCCCAUUCGGCUGCAACGAUUGACGUUAAAAUCAAGAAUCUUCAUAAGCCACCGUGCAUGUUUUGCUUGAUGGGCGACGAAUUCAGGUGGCUAAAGUAAAGCGAUGCAUCUAACUACUGCAGUUGUCUACCUCAUGGCGCCAACGUUUAGCCGACUAAUUCCGUGCAGUAUGUCUCAUGCUGCACCGAAAGGAAAGGCCAAACAGUACACUGUCUGUAACACAGAAGUAUGUAAACAGCGAGGUGAGUUCUGGAUCCA